rnacentral:rRNA from 1 species
UACGUAGGGUGCAAGCGUUAAUCGGAAUUACUGGGCGCAAAGCGUGCGCAGGCGGCUUUGCAAGACAGAUGUGAAAUCCCCGGGCUUAACCUGGGAACUGCAUUUGUGACUGCAUGGCUAGAGUGCGGCAGAGGGGGAUGGAAUUCCGCGUGUAGCAGUGAAAUGCGUAGAUAUGCGGAGGAACACCGAUGGCGAAGGCAAUCCCCUGGGCCUGCACUGACGCUCAUGCACGAAAGCGUGGGGAGCAAACAGG